GACGAACGCUGGCGGCGUGCUUAACACAUGCAAGUCGAACGAAGUGGCGAACGGGUGAGUAACGCGUAAUCAACCUGCCCUUCAGAGGGGGACAACAGUUGGAAACGACUGCUAAUACCGCAUACUGAAGGAGGGGAUUGCGGCUGAUUAGCUAGUUGGAGGGGUAAGGGCCCACCAAGGCGAUGAUCAGUAGCCGGCCUGAGAGGGUGAACGGCCACAUGGGGGCUGAGACACGGCCCAGACUCCUACGGGAGGCAGCAGGGGGGAAUCUUCCGCAAUGGACGAAAGUCUGACGGAGCAACGCCGCGUGAGUGAUGACGGCCUUCGGGUUGUAAAGCUCUGUUAAUCGGGACGCGGUACCGGAAUAGAAAGCCACGGCUAACUACGUGCCAGCAGCCGCGGUAAUUC
rnacentral:rRNA from 1 species